AAGACUAUAGACCUGCGGAGUACCUGCGGAAGGAUCAUUAUCGUAUUGUAACAAUUGGGGGGGCCACCGUGGGCUGUCGCUGACCCUUUGAAAGGGGGGUCGUGCACGCCCCCAUAGUGUCAUCCUCAUACAAUCCAACUCACCUCUGUGCAUCACCGCGUGGGUUCCUUUCUGGGUCGAGUCAGACUGGCUCAGAAAAAAGGGGCUUGCGUUUUCCAUACAAAUACCCUUACAAAUCCA
rnacentral:misc_RNA from 1 species